rnacentral:rRNA from 1 species
AGUGAACGCUGGCGGUAGGCCUAACACAUGCAAGUCGAACGGCAGCACAGUAAGAGCUUGCUCUUACGGGUGGCGAGUGGCGGACGGGUGAGGAAUACAUCGGAAUCUACUUUUUCGUGGGGGAUAACGUAGGGAAACUUACGCUAAUACCGCAUACGACCUACGGGUGAAAGCAGGGGAUCUUCGGACCUUGCGCGAUUGAAUGAGCCGAUGUCGGAUUAGCUAGUUGGCGGGGUAAAGGCCCACCAAGGCGACGAUCCUUAGCUGGUCUGAGAGGAUGGUCAGCCACACUGGAACUGAGGAACGGUCCAGACUCCUGCGGGAGGCAGCAGUGGGGAAUAUUGGACAAUGGGCGCAUGCCUGAUCCAGCCAUACCGCGUGGGUGAAGAAGGACUUCGGGUUGUAAAGCCCUUUUGUUGGGAAAGAAAAGCAGCAGGUUAAUACGCCGCUGUUCUGACGGUACCCAGAGAAGAAGCACCGGCUAACUUCGUG